UCGAGGAUCUUCGGCAAUGGGGGCAACCCUGACCGAGCGACGCCGCGUGCGCGAUGAAGGCCUUCGGGUUGUAAAGCGCGAAAGAGGGGAGAAAAGCCCGAAAGGGUCUGAUCUAUCCUCAGUAAGCUCGGGCUAAGUUCGUGCCAGCAGCCGCGGUAAGACGAACCGAGCGAACGUUGUUCGGAAUCACUGGGCUUAAAGGGCGCGUAGGCGGGCUGUCAAGUCUGGGGUGAAAUCCCGCGGCUCAACCGUGGAACUGCCUCAGAUACUGACGGCCUCGAGGGAGGUAGGGGCGAGCGGAACUGUGAGUGGAGCGGUGAAAUGCGUUGAUAUUCACAGGAACUCCGGUGGCGAAGGCGGCUCGCUGGACCUUUUCUGACGCUGAGGCGCGAAAGCUAGGGGAGCAAACGG
rnacentral:rRNA from 1 species